AAAAUGAAAAAGCUCACCGUCUUCGUUUAUUCUUAGUUUUCCCUCGCCCGACCUAGCAGCUCCUCUUCUUCGCUGCUCUUCCUCCAUCACUGCUCUCUUGUAUCGGUCUACAAAGUACAAACCAACAACCAAAGCAGCCUCUCACCCCGUGCUUUCCCGUACCCAGUGAAAAAAUCAAAACAUCUCUUUUUUACCUCACUAUCAGAUCGAUUCAUUCCUCUCAUCUCAAAACCAUGAGAGGUUCUUCUUCCCCAGAAGAGACGGAAGCUAGAGACGCACCGCCCAAGCUAGGUUUUGGACACAAAAGAUUCUUCUUCAACCUCUCCUCCAGCUAACUUGGGUUUUGGUUGAGUUCUUCAAUUUCACGAACGAUUCCGAAGUAUUGAUUCACUACUGUUGGAUGGUUUGGGUGUUUGGGCUUCUAUCGAUUUAGAGAUGUGGGUGACUGAAAUAGAGUUGGGUCUUACUCUAAUUUAGGAGUUGGGUCUCACACCUGGCAUCGUAUCUCUCCGUCUCCGUGAAUUGAACAUCCAGAGUUGUCAGGGAUUAUCAAGCCUAGAAUUGGGCUCGAUAACUGCACCUCUCUUCAGCACUUGUGCAUAAGGGAUUGCCCUAAUCUGAUAUCAAUUCCAAUCACGCAGUGCAUGCCGUCUCUCUGGAGAUUGGAUAUCAUCAGAUCGUGUGAGAGAUUAUCAAGCCUAGUUGGGCUCGACUACUGCAACUCUCUUCAGCAAUUGCAGAUAAUAGUAACAAUGAGUUAACUACCAAUUAAGACUUGCGAAGAAUCCAAGCCUUCAGUUCGCCAAUUCCUUGUCAUGCUUUUCUCAGAUCUGUUUUUGUACAGGAUUCCACUUUCUUUCCAAAUUAGGGAUUUAGAUUUUCUUCUUUGUCUGAUGAAGGAAGGACUGAUGAAGGAGAUGCAGAGGUCGAAGGAGGGACUGAUGAAGAAGAUGCAGAGGAAGAAGACGGAGGUGAGGUUUCAAAGUUGGGAAAGUUGAAAUGUAGGGAUGAACAUGAUUCUGUACAAGAUGUAAAAGCAGAUGACCUACGGCAGAUGCUUCUAGCCAUGACAGAGGAGUAUUUAUAAAUCUAUUCUCAAAUCUAAAGGUUCAAUUAAUGAGGUCAAUCAAUAUUUGUUCUGCUAUUUGCCUUUAACACCUUAUACUUUCAUGUUUAUACACCGGGAAUUUUGUUCUAGAUACUGCAUGCUUGACCAUGCUUAGAUGUUUCAUCUAGUUUCUCAAUGAAUUUUGUUCCAGGGGUUGGCUGUUGUUGCAAUAUUGAGGCACUUUAGAUACCCUUGCAGGUUCAUUUAGCACCUGGACGCAAAUUUAAUUUUCAAAAAUAUAACAAAAGAUCAUUAGAAGAUGACUUUAAGGUGGUUGUGGGAAUCAUGUGCUAUUGCCAACCUUUUCUUUCUUCAUGUUCUGGACUACGAUGACGCUCUAUUUGCUACUCAAUAUGGUUUCAACAAUGAAGAAGUCGAUCUUUGAUGAACAAACUAACAAGGCCUUAAGGAAAUUGCAAAAGAAUGCUCAAAAGAAGAGAAGGCAUCAUGAUGUGGUUCGAGCUGAAUGGGCAAAUCAUGUUAUACAGUUCGAAUUUUGGUUCUGUUUAAGGUAGAUGAGUAGCACUUGGAACUGCUUUUGUGCAUUCAUAUAUAACUGAUGGAAAGUGUUGAUGAACUUAAAUUAUGCAUGCAGUUGCUCUGUCUAGCUACUCUUUCUUUACCUUAUAGGUUUUUGACUUGGUGCACUAGGUAAAUGAUCGAGAUAAGAUGGUUUUUUGGUUCUCUUGAUCAUAAUGUAACUAUUGGCUAGGUUUAGA